rnacentral:rRNA from 1 species
AUUGAACGCUGGCGGCAUGCUUUACACAUGCAAGUCGAACGGUAACAGGCCUUCGGGUGCUGACGAGUGGCGAACGGGUGAGUAAUGCAUCGGAACGUACCCAGAGGUGGGGGAUAACGCAGCGAAAGCUGUGCUAAUACCGCAUGUGAUCUGAGGAUGAAAGCGGGGGACCGAGCAGCAAUGUUUGGCCUCGCGCCUUUGGAGCGGCCGAUGUCGGAUUAGCUAGUUGGUGGGGUAAAGGCCUACCAAGGCGACGAUCCGUAGCUGGUCUGAGAGGACGACCGGCCACACUGGGACUGAGACACGGCCCAGACUCCUACGGGAGGCAGCAGUGGGGAAUUUUGGACAAUGGGCGCAAGCCUGAUCCAGCAAUGCCGCGUGCGGGAAGAAGGCCUUCGGUUUGUAAACCGCUUUUGGCAGGAACGAAACGGUGUCCGCUAAUACAGGGCGCUAAUGACGGUACCUGCAGAAUAAGCACCGGCUAACUACGUG